CCUACGGGAGGCAGCAGUAGGGAAUUUUGCGCAAUGGAGGAAACUCUGACGCAGCAACGCCAUGUGUGGGAUGAAGCAUUUCGGUGUGUAAACCACUGUCAGCAGGGAAUAAAUGGUCUCUUCGGAGGCAGUUGAAUGUACCUGCAAAGGAAGCCCCGGCUAACUUCGUGCCAGCAGCCGCGGUAAUA
rnacentral:rRNA from 1 species